GUAGGGUGCAAGCGUUAAUCGGGAAUUACUGGGGCGUAAAGCGUGCGCAGGCGGUUAUAUAAGACAGAUGUGAAAUCCCCGGGGCUCAACCUGGGGAACUGCAUUUGUGACUGUAUAGCUAGAGUACGGCAGAGGGGGAUGGAAUUCCGCGUGUAGCAGUGAAAUGCGUAGAUAUGCGGAGGAACACCGAUGGCGAAGGCAAUCCCCUGGGCCUGUACUGACGCUCAUGCACGAAAGCGUGGGGAGCAAACAGGAUUAGAUACCCUGGUAGUCCACGCCCUAAACGAUGUCAACUGGUUGUUGGGUCUUCACUGACUCAGUAACGAAGCUAACGCGUGAAGUUGACCGCCUGGGGAGUACGGCCGCAAGGUUG
rnacentral:rRNA from 1 species